GAGGGUUGAUAGCUUUGAAUCACUGUUGUGAUCUUAUUUUCCUAAUAUCUACUUCUCUAUCGAGUUAGUAUUGAAUAUAGGUGGGUUCAUACAUUUGCAAAUGUUAAGAAAGCAAUCAAAGAGAAUAAAAUCACAAUGUAUGCAGCAACAAUAAUCUAGAAGGAUCUUAGACUUCCCCUACUUCAUUAUCCUGCAAGGGUUCCCAUAAUCCUUGCUAAAGGAAUCAGCUGC
rnacentral:lncRNA from 1 species